GCGGGCGUAAUUCAAUGGCAGAAUGCGAGCUUCCCAAGCUGGUAACGUGGGUUCGAUUCCCAUCGCCCGCUCCA
rnacentral:tRNA from 1 species